rnacentral:tRNA from 1 species
GUGAGUGUAGCUCAGUUGGUUAGAGCGUCGGAUUGUGGCUCCGAAGGUCGAGAGUUCGAGCCUCUUCACUCACCC